rnacentral:rRNA from 1 species
AUUGAACGCUGGCGGCAGGCCUAACACAUGCAAGUCGAGCGGGGUUUUCGGACCUAGCAGCGGACGGGUGAGUAAUGCGUAGGAAGCUGCCCGAUAGAGGGGGAUACCAGUUGGAAACGACUGUUAAUACCGCAUAAUGUCUACGGACCAAAGUGUGGGACCUUCGGGCCACAUGCUAUCGGAUGCGCCUACGUGGGAUUAGCUAGUUGGUGAGGUAAUGGCUCACCAAGGCGACGAUCUCUAGCUGGUUUGAGAGGAUGAUCAGCCACACUGGAACUGAGACACGGUCCAGACUCCUACGGGAGGCAGCAGUGGGGAAUAUUGGACAAUGGGCGCAAGCCUGAUCCAGCCAUGCCGCGUGUGUGAAGAAGGCCUUCGGGUUGUAAAGCACUUUCAGCGAGGAGGAAGGGUGGUGUGUUAAUAGCACAUCAUUUUGACGUUACUCGCAGAAGAAGCACCGGCUAACUCUGUGCCAGCAGCCGCCGUAAUAC